rnacentral:misc_RNA from 1 species
GAUGAAGAACGUAGCGAAAUGCGAUAAGUAAUGUGAAUUGCAGAAUUCAGUGAAUCAUCGAAUCUUUGAACGCACAUUGCGCUCCCUGGUAUUCCGGGGAGCAUGCCUGUUCGAGCGUCAUUACAACCCUCAAGCUUUGCUUGGUAUUGGACAUUGCCAGUUUCUGGCAGGUCUUAAAAUCAGUGGCGGUGCCAUUUGGCUUCAAGCGUAGUAAUUCUACUCGCUUUGGAGAUCCAGGUGGUUACUUGCCAAUAACCCCCAAUUUUUUCAGGUUGACCUCGGAUCAGGUAGGGAUACCCGCUGAACUUAAGCAUAUCAAUAAGCGGAGGA